UUGGAGGGCAAGUCUGGUGCCAGCAGCCGCGGUAAUUCCAGCUCCAAUAGCGUAUAUUAAAGUUGUUGCAGUUAAAAAGCUCGUAGUUGAAUUUCGGGAUUGACACAUCGGUCGUGCCUUAAGGGGCAUGAACUGGUGUAGUCAAUUUCUCACCUUCUGGAGAACCGCGAUGCCCUUAAUUGGGUGUCGCGGGGAACCAGGACCUUUACUUUGAAAAAAUUAGAGUGUUUAAAGCAGGCAUUUUGCUUGAAUACAUUAGCAUGGAAUAAUAAAAUAGGACGGCAUGAUUCUAUUUUGUUGGUUUCUAGGAUCACCGUAAUGAUUAAUAGGGAUAGUUGGGGGCAUUAGUAUUCAAUUGUCAGAGGUGAAAUUCUUGGAUUUAUUGAAGACUAACUACUGCGAAAGCAUUUGCCAAGGAUGUUUUCAUUAAUCAAGAACGAAAGUUAGGGGAUCGAAGACGAUCAGAUACCGUCGUAGUCUUAACCAUAAACUAUGCCGACUAGGAAUCAGACGAUGUUAAUUUUUUAAUGACUCGUUUGGCACCUUACGGGAAACCAAAGUGUUUGGGUUC
rnacentral:rRNA from 1 species